CUACGGGGGGCACCAGUCGAGAAUCUUCCGCAAUGGACGAAAGUCUGACGGAGCGACGCCGCGUGCGGGAUGAAGGCCUUCGGGUUGUAAACCGCUGUCAGUGGGGAGGAAGUGCAUCAGGGUUCUCCCUGGUGUUUGACCGAUCCGCAGAGGAAGCGCAGGCUAAGUUCGUGCCAGCAGCCGCGGUAACACGAACUGCGCGAACGUUAUUCGGAAUCACUGGGCUUAAAGAGUUCGUAGGCGGCCUUUCAAGUCGGGUGUGAAAUCCCUCGGCUCAACCGAGGAAUUGCGCCUGAUACUGUUGGGCUUGAGGGGGAUAGGGGUGAGCGGAACUGAUGGUGGAGCGGUGAAAUGCGUUGAUAUCAUCAGGAACACCGGUGGCGAAGGCGGCUCACUGGAUCUCUUCUGACGCUGAGGAACGAAAGCUAGGGGAGCGAACGGGAUUAGAUACCCUAGUAGUC
rnacentral:rRNA from 1 species